GCUGAUGUGGCUCAGUCGGUAGAGCAGUUCACUCGUAAUGAACAGGUCGUGAGUCCGAUUCUCACCAUCAGCUCCA
rnacentral:tRNA from 1 species